ensembl:snRNA Gm23986 U7 small nuclear RNA
GAGUGUACACAGCUCUUUCAGAAUUUUUCUAACAGGAUUUCAGACCUUGGUUGGAAAUCCCAA